GCAUAUAAGUAAGCGGAGGAAAAGGAACUAAAUAGGAUUCCCUUAGUAAUGGCGAACGAACAGGGAUGAGCUCGGCUUGGAAACUGGGGCUUCGGCCUUGGAUUGUAGCCUCUAGACAUAGUACCAACGGAGGCGCAGGUGUAAGCCUCUUGGAAAAGAGCAUCAACGUGGGUGAGAAUCCUGUGUUUCAUCUGCAGUCCACCGUGCACGGUACAUGUUCUCAGAGUCGCGUACCUCGGAAUUGGUGCGUAAAGUGGGUGGUAAAUUUCAUCUAAAGCUAAAUAUAGGCUUGAGACCGAUAGCAAACAAGUACCAUGAGGGAAAGAUGAAAAGGACUUUGAAAAGAGAGUUAAAAGUGUUUGAAAUUGCUGAAAGGGAAGCGAAUGGAACCAGUCCUCUGGCUGAGAUUGGUGCAUGCUCCUGUGAUGCCCGGCUGCUUCAGCGCAAGCGUGGUAGUUGGAGUUGAGCGGCUGUGUGUGCUGUUUCUCAGCUUGUGAGUCAACUUCUGUUCAUGCUUGGGGAUAGCCUCUUUGUCAUGACGAGCUCUGCGGGGUUAGUCUUGUCUUUGCAGGGACUCAGGCGUGUACAGCUUGCUGACGAAAUGGUUCUCUUUCGACCCGUCUUGAAACACGG
rnacentral:rRNA from 1 species